rnacentral:rRNA from 1 species
UUGGACGGCAAGUCUGGUGCCAGCAGCCGCGGUAAUUCCAGCUCCAAUAGCGUAUAUUAAAGUUGUUGCAGUUAAAAAGCUCGUAGUUGAAUUUCGGGAUCAAUAUAUCGGUCGUGCCUUUGGUACGUACUGGUAUCAUUGAUUUCUCCUUUCUGACGAAUCAUGAUGUCAUUAAUUUGGUGUUAUGAGGAGUUAGGACUGUUACUUUGAAAAAAUUAGAGUGUUUAAAGCAGGCAUUAGCUUGAAUACAUUAGCAUGGAAUAAUGAAAUAGGACGUUUGACCCUAUUUUGUUGGUUUCUAGGAUCAACGUAAUGAUUAAUAGGGAUAGUUGGGGGCAUUAGUAUUCAAUUGUCAGAGGUGAAAUUCUUGGAUUUAUUGAAGACUAACUACUGCGAAAGCAUUUGCCAAGGAUGUUUUCAUUAAUCAAGAACGAAAGUUAGGGGAUCGAAGACGAUCAGAUACCGUCGUAGUCUUAACCAUAAACUAUGCCGACUAGGGAUCGGAUGAUGUUAAUUUUUUAAUGACUCAUUCGGCGCCUUACGGGAAAC